GCACAACGCGAAGAACCUUACCCAGGUUUGACAUCCCACUAAGGAUCCCGAAAGGGAACUGUGUCUUCGGACCGUGGUGACAGGUGUUGCAUGGCCGUCGUCAGCUCGUGUCGUGAGAUGUUUGGUUAAGUCCAUCAACGAGCGCAACCCUUAUGAGUAGUUGUAUUUCUCUACUCAGACUGCCCUGGCAACAGGGAGGAAGGAGGGGAUGAUGUCAGGUCAGUAUUACCCUUACACCUGGGGCUACAAACACGCUACAAUGGCCGGUACAAAGGGCAGCCAACCCGCGAGGGGGAGCAAAUCCCAUCAAAGCCGGUCUCAGUUCGGAUUGCAGGCUGAAACUCGCCUGCAUGAAGCUGGAAUCGCUAGUAAUGGUAGGUCAGCACACUACCGUGAAUACGUUCCCGGGUCUUGUACACACCG
rnacentral:rRNA from 1 species